UUAUUUUAAUAUAUAUUUAUAUUUUAAUAUAUAAAUAUAUCGAUGGUUGAUUUUAAAAAUAAAUUUUAGUGUGAAUAUAACAUUAUCGAAUACUUUAAUUACAUAGAGCUGCCAGUUAUUAAUACCCUAUAAUUUUGCAGCGGUAAAAGUAACCUCCUCAAAACCAAUUCUUUUAAGAAAAUAAAUAAUUCGCAGUUUCGCACACAUAAAUAAGGAAGGUCUACCGUACACCGCUCCAUUCGCUUGAAUUGGGAAACUACUGUAAUUUGUUAAUCAUGAAUCGUCCGGUCAAAAUUUGAACUAAAUUUCAUCGAGUUAAUACUCAAAUUGGCCUCUGAAAUUUGACCCGCGAUUAAAUUUAGCCCUCAAGGUUUCAGUUGACUCUAAUUGUAUCCUAAAAUUUUGCCUCGAGUCUCAAUUUGGCCCUUCCGGCGUUUUCCGUCACCGGAGAGCUGACCUGGCAAAUUUGGUAGACACCUGGCAUCCUAGUAGUUAGAUGACGUGGCAAAAUAUUUGAAGGCUUCAAUUUAAUUCCUAAAAAUUUCAAAUAAAACCUAGAAGUUCUAAUUUCCCGAAAUCGAAGAGUGUCUCCAAGAGGUGAGAAGAAUGUUGCGAAGCAGCAACCAAAGCUCAGGUAGCUCUGGUAGAGCUCGUUCGCAUGGUGGCUGGGUGAAGAACACACACGGUGACAGAGGUGGGAAGGUUCCGCAUUGGUGCGGUUGUGGGUUGCGUCCUAUUCUUCGGUGGUCUGGGACGGAUUCCAAUCCAGAAAGACCAUUCUAUGGAUGCUCUAACUAUAAUACUACCGAUAAGAGAUGAUGUGGCUUUUUUAAAUGGGCAGAUGUUGAAGAAGAAGAAGCCAUAGUUGGCAGAAAUGAAAGUUCAGUUAGUGAAGACCAUUGAAAAAUAUCACUGG